CUGUCACAGACGUAGUUCUGAAGGUGGUCAAGCUAUGUGAUAAUUUGUGGGAGUUCUGCAUCAUGGCAGAACUAGCGGCGCGACUAACUGCUUCAGAGUUGCCAUCUGUGACCAGGUCAGUGGCUUGUGCUUACGUUGGAGCCUUCUACAAGAAUGGUAGCGUCCUGGUCAUGCCCUACUGCCAAUAUGGGACACUGCUUGACCUGGUCAACGUGUUCAAGCAUCGUGGAGAGUCAGUCCCAGAGUGCCUCGUGCUGUACUUUACACUCGAG